rnacentral:rRNA from 1 species
AUUGAACGCUGGCGGUAGGCCUAACACAUGCAAGUCGAACGGCAGCACAGGAGAGCUUGCUCCCUGGGUGGCGAGUGGCGGACGGGUGAGGAAUACAUCGGAAUCUACUUUUUCGUGGGGGAUAACGUAGGGAAACUUACGCUAAUACCGCAUACGACCUACGGGUGAAAGCAGGGGACCUUCGGGCCUUGCGCGAUUGAAUGAGCCGAUGUCGGAUUAGCUAGUUGGCGGGGUAAAGGCCCAACAAGGCGACGAUCCGUAGCUGGUCUGGGAGAAGGAUAAGCCACAGUGGAACAGAGACACGGGCCAGACUCCUACGGGAGGCAGCAGUGGGGAAUAUUGGACGAUGGGCGCAAGCCUGAGCCAGCCAUACCGCGUGGGUGAAGAAGGCCUUCGGGUUGUAAAGCCCUUUUGUUGGGAAAGAAAUCCAGCUGGCUAAUACCCGGUUGGGAUGACGGUACCCAAAGAAUAAGCACCGGCUAACUUCGUGCCAGCAGCCGCCGCAG